AUUGAACGCUGGCGGAAUGCUUUACACAUGCAAGUCGAACGGCGGCACGGACUUCGGUCUGGUGGCGAGUGGCGAACGGGUGAGUAUGCAUCGGAACGUGCCCAAUCGUGGGGGAUAACGUAGCGAAAGUUACGCUAAUACCGCAUACGAUCUAAGGAUGAAAGCGGGGGAUCGCAAGACCUCGCGCGAAUGGAGCGGCCGAUGUUAGAUUAGGUAGUUGGUGGGGUAAAGGCUCACCAAGCCGACGAUCUAUAGCUGGUCUGAGAGGAUGAUCAGCCACACUGGGACUGCGACACGGCCCAGACUCCUACGGGAGGCAGCAGUGGGGAAUUUUGGACAAUGGGCGCAAGCCUGAUCCAGCCAUGCCGCGUGCAGGAUGAAGGCCUUCGGGUUGUAAACUGCUUUUGUACGGAACGAAAAGGUUUGGCCUAAUGCGCUGAACUCAUGACGGUACCGUAAGAAUAAGCACCGGCUAACUACGUGCCAGCCGCCGCCGUAA
rnacentral:rRNA from 1 species